rnacentral:rRNA from 1 species
AAGGGCACCACAAGAACGCGUGGAGCAUGUGGCUUAAUUUGACUCAACGCGGGAAAUCUUACCGGGUCCGGACGUGCUGAGGAUUGACAGGUUUUGUGCAUUAUUUGCAUUGCAAUAGCAGUGUUUCUGAAUAGUGUACUCAAAGAUGCUAGUCCUUUCAUGAUUGUGCGAUAGGUGGUGCAUGGCCGUUCUUAGUUCGUGGAGUGAUCUGUCUGCUUAAUUGCGUUUCGCAAUUGGUCAAUUUUUGACACGCCAUUACUUGUGCACCGAUGUUGCGUUCGCUCUAUGUGUUGUUGUCUUUCAUUAGGCGGCAGUACUAGGGUUUGUUAGCGCCGUUGGGUUUUUGUCACUUGUAUGGCGAAUUGGCCUGGAAAGCAACGAACGUGACCGCAGCCUCUUGUUGCCUCAAAUAUUUGUUGUCAUAUCCAUUCUUCUUUUAGUUUGGUGCGACUUCAUACUACUGAGGCUAACUAGAGGGACCGCUCGACAUUUGUUAAAACAGAGGAAGGUUGCGGCAAUAACAGGUCUGUGAUGCCCUUAGAUGUUCCGGGCUGCACGCGUGCUACAAUGAUUAUUGCAGUAAGCAUCUUAUUUGCUUGCCCUUGUCUUCCUGUAUUGGAAUUCUGAGGUUCUAAAGCACAAGCAAUUUAAUGGAUAUGUUUGUUGUUUAGUCUUUUUUCGAAAGGGCUAGGUGGCAUUCAAAUCCUGCUUGUAUGACCUACUUCGAAAGUCAGUAGGUAAUCAUUUCUAAGUAAUGAUUUCCCAUUCGCACAUAUUAUGUUUCAAGAUGCCAGGCUUAUCUUCGGAUUUAGUCAAUAUGCGCUCUUGAUAACAUGUGCUCCAACAAAAAUUUGUAUUUUUCAAUUCGUGGUGGGGACAGACCAUUGCUAAUUGUUGGUCUCGGUCUCAACUAGGAAUGCCUUGUACGGGUCUCUGGUUCAACAAACCA